GUCACUAUGUAAAGGUGAUGAUGAUAAA
rnacentral:sRNA from 1 species